GUGAGGAAUAUUGCGCAAUGGAGGCAACUCUGACGCAGCCAUGCCGCGUGCAGGAAGAAGGCGCUACGCGUUGUAAACUGCUUUUAACCGGGAAGAAACCCCAGGACGUGUCCUGGGUUGACGGUACCGGAGGAAUAAGCACCGGCUAACUUCGUGCCAGCAGCCGCGGUAAUACGAAGGGUGCAAGCGUUAUCCGGAUUCAUUGGGUUUAACGGGUGCGUAGGCGGAGCGUUAAGUCAGUGGUGAAAUCCUGCAGCUUAACUGUAGACUUGCCAUUGAUACUGGCGCUCUUGAGUGCGCUUGAAGUGGGCGGAAUGUGCCAUGUAGCGGUGAAAUGCUUAGAUAUGGCACAGAACACCAAUAGCGAAGGCAGCUCACUAAGGCGAUACUGACGCUGAGGCACGAAAGCGUGGGGAUCGAACAGGAUUAGAUACCCGGGUAGUCC
rnacentral:rRNA from 1 species